rnacentral:lncRNA from 1 species
CUCUGGGGAGGGUUAGGUUUUAUGAUGGUGCAAACAAUGGCAUUCAUGAGGCUUACGUUUUGGGAACUCUCCUGGGAUGUGAUGGAACCCAUAUGCUUCUAUUUGACCUCAAUGUACUGCAUGGCAGGCUACACCUUCUUCCUAAGGACCUCAAAAGAACCUUCCUUUGAAGGCUUCUACCAAGUCCGUUUCAGCUCCAAGCAGAAGCACCUCAUGAAGCUUCACAAUUUUGACAUUGAAAAGUAUAAUCAACUCAGGGCUGCUUGCUCUCCCACCACCAUGCCUCCAAAGUUUGAUCCCUCCAUUGCUCUCCCAUUUGACAAUUCUUCCAUUCAUCAAUGAUAUUGAAGGUGGUGUGGUGAUUGGCCUAAUAUGAAAAUAAAGAUGAUAUGGAAGGCCCUCAAUAACAUUAAUCAUUUUUCAUU